UGGUGGAGGGUGUGGGAGUGAGAAUGCAGGCAUGAGUAGCGAUAAGGCAAGUGAGAACCUUGCCCGCCGAAAGACCAAGGGUUCCUGGGCCAGGCCAGUCCGCCCAGGGUGAGUCGGGACCUAAGGCGAGGCCGACAGGCGUAGUCGAUGGACAACGGGUUGAUAUUCCCGUACCCGUGUGUG
rnacentral:rRNA from 1 species